rnacentral:rRNA from 1 species
ACCGGAGCUUGCUCCACCGGAAAAAAGAGGAGUGGCGAACGGGUGAGUAACACGUGGGUAACCUGCCCAUCAGAAGGGGGAUAACACUUGGAAACAGGUGCUAAUACCGUAUAACAAUCAAAACCGCAUGGUUUUGAUUUGAAAGGCGCUUUCGGGUGUCGCUGAUGGAUGGACCCGCGGUGCAUUAGCUAGUUGGUGAGGUAACGGCUCACCAAGGCCACGAUGCAUAGCCGACCUGAGAGGGUGAUCGGCCACAUUGGGACUGAGACACGGCCCAAACUCC